rnacentral:lncRNA from 9 species
UGGUGUCCCUUGGAGUCUGUUUUCAUCUCAUGUCUUGCCAGCCCUUUGGGCCUCUUAUUUGGAAAUUUCUGUUCUUCAGUGCUGCGCAUUCGUCUUGUCUUAUUACCCUGAUUUCUUUCCAUUCACUUUCCUUCUCUUUCUAGAAUUCAUGUGUUGCGCCUUCUAGAUGGACAAUCUGAUUUUCUUAGGUUUUUCCAUUUCUUUGUGUAAGACAUUCUCAACCGUAUCCUCUAGCCCUUCUAUUGAGUUUUUUACUUCUUUUCUAAGCUUUCUGUUCCCGUUUCAUAAUCUUCUGUUUUUGUUUCGUGGAUGUAGUAACUCCUCUUAUCUGAGGUCGUGAAUGAGUUCUGAAGUUUUCUAAACCCACCCCCCCACCCCACCCCCGCCGGAAGUCACUGCUUGCUUCAGGUUGCUUUUUGUUUUUUGGGGUUUUGGUUUUCCUAACAGAGCCUUUUCUGGGCUUACCUGGUGACAUUUUCUUGUCUCUUUAUGCGUUAGAGGGACUCAGCUUGUGAUUGGGGGCUUGCCAACUGUGUCAUUUGCUGCGGAGGCCUCUGGCUGGGCCCUCUCCUUACAGCACCCCGACAGCUUCUUCAGGCCUCUAUUUAUUUAUCUUUUGGUCACACCCAUGGCAUGCAGAAGUUCCUGGGCCAGGGAUCGAACCCCCGCCACAGCAGCAGCCUGAGACACUGCAGUGACAAUGCCAGAUCCUUAACCCACUCUGCCAUGUGGGAACAUCUCUUCAAAUCUCUUUAGAUUCUCCAGAAAAAUAUCUCCCACCCUCUUGCCUGGCUGCCUGUGUCCGGGGCCAAGUGAAGGGAGAAGGCUACAGUCUUUUUUUCUUUUUAGGGCCAUACCUGAGGCAUUUGGAGGUUCCCAGCCUAGGGGUUGAAUCGAAGAUGCAGCUGCCGGCCUACACCACAGCCACAGCAACUCGGGAUCCUUAACCCACUGAGCAAGGCCAGGGAUUGAACCUGCAUCCUCAUGGAUGCCGGUCAGAUUCGUUUACCCCUAGCCUGGGAACCUCCAUAUGCCACGGGUGCGGCCCUAGAAAAGGCAAAAAGACAAAAAAGAGAGAGAGAGAAGUGAUAUCCGCACGUGGGACAGCCUGGCGUGGGUGCUGUUCGGGUGGAAGGUCGGCAGGCAGGAGCCUGUUGGGGGUCCUCUCAGCAAGGAGAGCCAGGUGGACGCCUGGGUCCUGGCUUCACUGUAGGUGCGUUGACCUGCAGCGCUUCCACCCAUCGCUAGACUGGCCAGGAGUGGACUGACCCGACAGCUGGGACCCCGCCACGCACUCGCCUUUCACGCCCCAUCAAAACCACGUGUGGAUGUGCUACUCUGAUCAUUUGAUUUAAUGGACGGGAUUUCUCUCUUUGGACCAUUAAAAGCUGCAGAUUAGUAUUUGUUGGAGACAGAUUCUUAAGUAAAAGAGCCUCGCUCAGUUUGUCGUCUCCAGUGCGUUGGCCUGCUUGGUGGGACUGGGCCUCAGCGAGGCUCUAGCCUCUGGCUCUGGUACGUCCCCCCUGGGACUGAGCCCCUUGCGUGUAGAGGGUUUUGUGUUUUAAAUCCUGAAACAUCACUGGUCUGUGUCCCCAGCUGAGACGCUGAGACCCUUCAAAUCCAGGGUCGGGUUUAAAACCGUGACUCUGUGAUUGCCAUACACAGGCUUCCUGGCUCCGGAACCAUGUGUGUCUUAGGGGCAAGAAUUUGGGGUGUUUUUCCCCGGUCAGGUGAGUCGAUCUUGCUAGUGCUGGCUCUCCUGAUCUUGACCUUGCCUCACCCGGCCGCGGUGUCCGCCUUAUCGAGCACAGGCGGCGUUUUGCAUCAAAGGGCAGGUACCCUCCCUGGCAGCUUCACUAGGCAAAGUGACCCACACCCUCUUUCUUGACAGGGAGUUCUUGAUCCUCCCGGGAUGACCUUUGAAGGUUCUUUCCAACCCUGCUAUUUUAUGGCCUGGUUUCUAAAUCCCCAGUGGAUUAGAGGGACGGAAGGACUUUUAUAGGAUAACAGCCAGAAGAACAAAGUGACUGCAAAAUACACGGAGAACUCGGUCACCCUAGAGAGCUCUGAAGCCCCCAGGCCCACGUUCUUUCUCACACCACACACGGUACUGCAGGCCCCUUUUCCUCCUGGCUCAGCGGAGAUUAGCAAGAGGAGCGAGGGGGAGAUUACUCCCCACGCGAGAGUUUUACUUCACAUGGUUACUUGGGAAAGUCUCGGCACUUGAGGGCUCAUUCCCUCGGGCCCCUGGAGAAGUGAGACGCUCUCAGUGGUCUAGGGUUUACUGCAGUGCGUUUUGCUGAAACGAAUGGCCUGAUGGAAGGGCUUCUUGCGCCGUCUUUCCCUUGAGGAAUUUGCCGAAGUCCUGGUAUUCGUAACUGAAGCGUGAGCAGUAGUAGUUUCACCUUAUCUGGGUGCGAGGCGAAAGGAUCUGGGUUGUGGGACGCAGAUGAGUGAUUUUUCUCUGGUUUUCUCCUUGUUCCCUCUCGCUUCCUGUCCCACCCCAGCAAAAGCUGGCAGGCUGACAGAGGCGGCCUCAGGACGGACCUUCUGGCUAUUGACCAUUUUGUCAGGCCGGGAGGGCUUCAGUGGGGCCCUGGGGUGGGACUGCGUCUCCGGGGCCCUGGGCAUCCCGGUACUCUCCGCUGGAGCCUUUGUCUCCUUGGCGACGGCAGCUUUUCAGGGGCAGCUGUCCAGGGAUUUCUCCUCUUCACCACUCGGUGAGAGUUUGGGAAGCCCCUUGGGUCUGAAGGUGCAAGGGAGGGAAUGAGGUGGCACCUGCUGGUGGAGCAGGGUGGACGCUUGGCUGAAGCUCUCACCCGCGCCCGCCCUGGCAGCGCCGGCCGCCUGUGUGCCAUCUCCCUCUCCGCCUCCUCCCUCCGCUGCAGUGGCUCACCCGGACCGUGUGGAGGCGCGAGAUCAACCAUGAGCUCCGUUGCAGUUUUGACCCAAGAGAGCUUUGCUGAGCACCGCAGUGGACUCAUUCCGCAGCAGAUAAGAGUUGCCACUUUAAAUUCAGAAGAGGAGAGCGACCCUCCAACCUACAAGGAUGCCUUCCCCCCGCUCCCCGAGAAAGCAGCUUGCUUGGAAAACCCCCAGGAACCUGCCGGCGCCUGGAGCAACAAAAUCCGGCCCAUCAAGGCGUCCGUCAUCACUCAGGUGUUCCACGUACCCCUGGAGGAGAGGAAGUACAAGGACAUGAACCAGUUUGGAGAAGGUGAACAAGCCAAAAUCUGCCUCGAGAUCAUGCAGAGGACCGGCGCUCACCUGGAGCUGUCCCUCGCCAAAGACCAGGGCCUCUCCAUCAUGGUUUCUGGGAAGCUGGACGCCGUCAUGAAGGCCCGGAAGGACAUUGUCGCUCGGCUGCAGACUCAGGCCUCCGCCACCGUUGCCAUCCCCAAAGAGCACCAUCGCUUUGUCAUCGGCAAAAACGGAGAGAAACUGCAGGACUUGGAGCUCAAAACCGCAACCAAAAUCCAGAUCCCACGCCCCGACGACGCCAGCAAUCAGAUCAGGAUCACCGGCACCAAAGAGGGCAUCGAGAAGGCUCGCCACGAGGUCCUGCUCAUCUCCGCGGAGCAGGACAAACGUGCGGUGGAGCGGCUCGAGGUGGAGAAGGCCUUCCACCCCUUCAUCGCGGGGCCCUACAACCGGCUGGUCAGCGAGAUCAUGCAGGAGACGGGCACGCGCAUCAACAUCCCGCCGCCCAGCGUCAACCGCACCGAGAUCGUCUUCACGGGCGAGAAGGAGCAGCUGGCGCAGGCCGUGGCUCGCAUCCGCAAGAUCUACGAGGAGAAGGUAGGCCGGGCGGUGGCCCCGCGGUGCCGGCCAGGGCCCGCAGGUGUCUGGGGCGCUCCCGCGGGGCGGGGCCUGGGCGCUUUCUCCCUCCCGCGGCGCAGCCCUCCUCUGGCCCGACGCCGCCGCUUCUCCAGGGCCCCGUCUGAGGCCGCGGCCCGGCCCGCAGGGGCGGCUCAGAGGCCGAGGGCCGCGCCCGCGCCCGCGCUGGCCGCCCUCCCUCCGACGCCCGGGCGCUCUCCUCAGAAAAAGAAGACCACCACCAUCGCGGUCGAGGUGAAGAAGUCCCAGCACAAGUACGUCAUUGGCCCCAAGGGCAACUCCUUGCAAGAGAUUCUGGAAAGAACCGGCGUUUCUGUGGAGAUCCCGCCUUCAGACAGCGCCUCUGAGACUGUGAUCCUUCGAGGCGAGCCCGAGAAGCUGGGGCAGGCGUUGACGGAGGUCUAUGCCAAGGUAACGGCUCCCUGUGGCGUCGGCCUCCUGGCGGGCACGUCCAGGACCUGGAGCCGGGGCCGAGUCGGGGGACGGGAGCGCUCACCCUCCGGAGCCCUGACAGCCAACAGCUUCACGGAGAACGAGCGCACCAAGGAUCUGAUCAUCGAGCAGAGGUUCCAUCGCACCAUCAUCGGGCAGAAGGGGGAGCGGAUCCGAGAGAUUCGGGACAAAUUCCCGGAGGUUAUCAUCAACUUUCCAGACCCAGCCCAGAAAAGCGAUAUUGUUCAACUCAGGGGGCCCAAGAACGAGGUGGAAAAAUGCACGAAAUACAUGCAGAAGAUGGUGGCAGAUCUGGUGGAAAACAGCUAUUCGAUUUCUGUUCCGAUCUUCAAGCAGUUUCACAAGAACAUCAUCGGGAAAGGAGGGGCCAACAUUAAGAAGAUUCGAGAAGAGAGCAACACCAAGAUCGACCUCCCCGCCGAGAACAGCAACUCAGAGACCAUUGUCAUCACAGGCAAGCGAGCCAACUGCGAGGCUGCCCGGAGCCGCAUUCUGUCCAUCCAGAAAGACCUGGCCAACAUCGCCGAGGUGGAGGUCGCCAUCCCUGCCCGGCUGCACAACGCCCUCAUCGGCACCAAGGGCCGGCUCAUCCGCUCCAUCAUGGAGGAGUGCGGCGGCGUCCACAUCCACUUCCCCGUGGAAGGCUCCGGGAGCGACACCGUGGUCAUCAGGGGCCCUUCCUCCGACGUGGAGAAGGCCCGCAAGCAGCUCCUGCACCUGGCGGAGGAGAAGCAAACCAAGAGCUUCACCGUCGACAUCCGAGCCAAGCCGGAAUACCACAAGUUCCUCAUCGGCAAAGGGGGCGGCAAAAUCCGCAAGGUGCGUGACAGCACCGGGGCCCGCAUCAUCUUCCCCGCCGCCGAGGACAAGGACCAGGACCUGAUCACCAUCAUAGGCAGGGAGGACGCCGUCCGGGAGGCCCAGCGGGAGCUGGAGGCCCUGAUCCAGAACCUGGACAACGUGGUUGAGGACUUCAUGCUGGUGGACCCCAGGCACCACCGUCACUUUGUCAUCCGACGAGGCCAGGUCCUGCGGGAGAUCGCGGAGGAGUACGGCGGGGUGAUGGUUAGCUUCCCCCGCUCCGGCACGCAGAGCGACAGAGUCACCCUGAAGGGGGCCAAGGACUGCGUGGAGGCGGCCAAGAAGCGCAUUCAGGAGAUCAUCGAGGACCUGGAAGCCCAGGUGACCAUAGAGUGCGCCAUUCCCCAGAAGUUCCAUCGCUCGGUCAUGGGCCCCAAAGGUUCCAGAAUCCAGCAGAUAACUCGCGACCAUAACGUUCAGAUUAAAUUCCCAGACAGAGAGGAGAACCCAGCGCACGGCACGGAGCCAGCUGUCCAGGAGAACGGCGACGACCCCGGGGAGGGGAGAGACGGGAAGGAGGCCGAGCCCGGCUCCCCCAGGAGAUGCGACAUCAUCACCAUCUCCGGCCGGAAGGAGAAGUGCGAGGCCGCCAAGGAGGCCCUUGAGGCCCUGGUUCCCGUCACCAUUGAGGUGGAGGUGCCCCUUGACCUUCACCGGUACAUCAUCGGCCAGAAGGGGAGCGGGAUCCGCAGGAUGAUGGACGAGUUUGAGGUGAAUAUUCACGUCCCGGCCCCCGAGCUGCAGUCAGGCGUCAUCGCCAUCACGGGCCUGGCUGCCAACCUGGACCGGGCCAAGGCUGGGCUGCUGGAGCGGGUGAAGGAGCUGCAGGCGGAGCAGGAAGACCGGGCUUUGCGGAGCUUCAAGCUGAGCGUCACCGUUGACCCCAAGUACCACCCCAAGAUCAUCGGGCGGAAGGGGGCGGUGAUCACCCAGAUCCGCCUGGAGCACGACGUCAACAUCCAGUUUCCUGAUAAGGACGAUGGGAGCCAGCCGCAGGACCACAUCACCAUCACGGGCUACGAGAAGAACACCGAGGCCGCCCGGGACGCCAUCCUCAAGAUCGUGGGGGAGCUCGAGCAGAUGGUUUCUGAGGACGUGCCGCUCGACCACCGCGUCCACGCCCGCAUCAUCGGUGCCCGCGGCAAAGCCAUCCGCAAGAUCAUGGAUGAGUUCAAGGUGGACAUUCGCUUCCCGCAGAGCGGGGCCCCCGACCCCAACUGCGUCACCGUGACGGGGCUGCCGGAGAACGUGGAGGAAGCCAUCGACCACAUCCUCAACCUGGAGGAGGAAUACCUGGCCGACGUGGUGGACACCGAGGCGCUGCAGCUGUACAUGAAGCCCCCGGCCCACGAGGAGGCCAAGGCGCCGUCCAGGGGCUUCGUGGUGCGGGACGCCCCCUGGACCGCCAGCAGCAGCGAGAAGGCUCCCGACAUGAGCAGCUCGGAGGAGUUCCCCAGCUUCGGGGCUCAGGUGGCCCCCAAGACCCUCCCCUGGGGCCCCAAGCGAUAAUGCUCGACAAGCAGAAACCUCUCCAGCCUGCUGACCUGAACCCGCCACACGAUGGUCCGUCUCAAUCCGACCCAGCGGCUGGACCCUCCGCAAAUUCUUGACGCCCCUUCCCCGAGGUCUCACAGCGAAGCCGGCGUGGCCCGCGCCCUGGCGGCCGGGUCUCAGGCCUGGCCGCCCCCGGCACAGGCUCUGCUCCCGACCUCUGUGCUGGGGCGGCGGCCGCACGAGCCCCGCGGAGGCCCGCGUCAUCCACCCGGCCUGCCCCGGCUCCGGCCUCCCCGGGAGAGCGCUGCAGCUGCGGCCGCGUCCACUUCCUGUGUCACGACCUCAGGAAAUAAAUGUCCUUGACUUUCUAAAAGCCAAAA